CGCGUGGGCAACCUGCUCAGUACUGGGGGAUAACAGUUGGAACGACUGUUAAUACCGCAUAAGCGCACAGAGUCGCAUGACUCAGUGUGAAAAACUCCGGUGGUAUGAGAUGGGCCCGCGUCAGAUUAGCUAGUUGGUGGGGUAAAGGCCUACCAAGGCGACGAUCUGUAGCCGGACUGAGAGGUCGGACGGCCACAUUGGGACUGAGACACGGCCCAAACUCCUACGGGAGGCAGCAGUGGGGGAUAUUGCACAAUGGAGGAAACUCUGAUGCAGCGACGCCGCGUGAAGUGAAGAAGUAUUUCGGUAUGUAAAGCUCUAUCAGCAGGGAAGAAAGGCUCGUAAGAGAGAUGACGGUACCUGACUAAGAAGCCCCGGCUAACUACGUGCCAGCCGCUGC
rnacentral:rRNA from 1 species